rnacentral:rRNA from 1 species
ACACCGGCGGCCCGAGUGGUGAUCGUGAUUAUUGGGUCUAAAGGGUCCGUAGCCGGUUUGGUCAGUCCUCCGGGAAAUCUGAUAGCUCAACUAUUAGGCUUUCGGGGGAUACUGCCAGACUUGGAACCGGGAGAGGUAAGAGGUACUACAGGGGUAGGAGUGAAAUCUUGUAAUCCCUGUGGGACCACCUGUGGCGAAGACGUGGUAGCAGAGCGGGUUCGGAGGUGAGGGACGAAAGCUGGGGGCAGGAACCGGAUUAGAUUCCCGGGUAGUCCCAGCCGGAAACGAUGCGCGCUAGGUGUCAGGCAUGGCGCGACCGUGUCUGGUGCCGCAGGGAAGCCGUGAAGCGAGCCACCUGGGAAGUACGGCCGCAAGGCUGAAACUUAAAGGAAUUGGCGGGG